rnacentral:rRNA from 1 species
GACGUAGGGGCCGAGCGUUGUCCGGAGUUACUGGGCGUAAAGGGCGCGCAGGCGGUUGGUCACAUCGGCGGUGAAAGCCCCCCGCUCAACGGGGGAGGGUCCGUCGAGAUGGGCCGACUGGAGGCAGGGAGAGGGCGGUGGAAUUCCUGGUGUAGCGGUGAAAUGCGCAGAUAUCAGGAGGAACACCGAUUGCGAAGGCAGCUCGCUGGAACGUAACUGACGCUGAGACGCGAAAGCGUGGGGAGCAAACAGG